UUCUCGCGCUUUGUGAUGACGCACGGUGUACUGCGUGUGUUUGAAAAAUGGCAGCAGUUCAAGUAAGCGAAGCGGAGAAGGUUUAUAUUUUGCAUGGAGUUCGAGAUGACCUGAGAUUGGACGGGCGAGGAUGUGAAGACUACAGACACAUGGAGAUCGAGACGGAUGUGGUGUCAAACACUGAUGGUUCUGCUAAAAUCAGUCUUGGUCACACAGAUGUUCUUGUAGG